GUAUUGAAUUGAAUGGGAGUCUCUCUGCAGCAUCAGUGCAUGAAAGAGUGAAUGACAUGAGUGGAGUUUGUUCUGCUGCUACUUCCUGAAUGUUUGCAGUUCAGAGCUGACUGCUUUCAUCAGGAAACAGUGAAGUCUGCUCAGUUAGUUUGAUCUCUAAAGAUGUCCACACAAACUGAAGCUGCAGCAGAUUGGAGAGGGAAAUUUAGCAGAAAUCUUCAUCCAGAUGGAAGAGAACAAAGUGAGGUGGAGAUGUUAGAUGAUGAAGAGCAGCACUCUGAUCAUGGAUUACAACAAACCGAAAAUCAGAAGCAGAAGAAUCUUCAAGCUGAGAGAAGAAACUGUUUCAGAGUUUUCAAGUUUUCUCUGGGAGUUUUCUGUUUCCUGAUUCUGGCUGGACUCAUGACUCGCUAUCUUCUGGUGUCUUUGGAAAACAACAGACUGAAAAUCAGAAACAAUCACCUGCAGACUGAACCUUCAGGUAAAAUAGAUUCUAAAUGUUUAGUCAAAAUGUUGAACAAACUAUUUCUAAAAAUGUCUUUGGGUUUUUUUGUUCCUCUUUUAUUUAAACCUGCUUGAGUUCAGCCUCACAUGGACUGUUUCAAACAGGAACACGGAGAAAAGACCACAGUGAUCACGGUUUCACACAUCUAUCAUCACAGUUCUGAACUAAACUGAUCCAGGAGGAGAAGAAACAUUAAUUCCCUACCUGUUUGUCUUGUAUGGAAGCGAUUGUGUAGCGUAAUUAAAAAUAAAAGUCAAAACCAGAAAUGCUUUUUCAUUUUCAAAAUGAA